GAUGGCUGAUCAAGAAGGGCCAUGGCCUAGAUCAAUGGCUCACAUUGCAUUUGGUGAGUGUGUUGGUCUACCAUCUCCUCAAGUGGGAGAGUGGAUGUCGUAAUUUGUGAUAGAGGGAAUGUGAUGAGACUUAUCUGUGAGUAAUGAAAUUUGUUGGGAUA